rnacentral:rRNA from 1 species
GAUGAACGCUGGCGGCGUGCCUAAUACAUGCCAGUCGAGCGAACGGACGAGAAGCUUGCUUCUCUGAUGUUAGCGGCGGACGGGUGAGUAACACGUGGAUAACCUACCUAUAAGACUGGGAUAACUUCGGGAAACCGGAGCUAAUACCGGAUAAUAUUUUGAACCGCAUGGUUCAAAAGUGAAAGACGGUCUUGCUGUCACUUAUAGAUGGAUCCGCGCUGCAUUAGCUAGUUGGUAAGGUAACGGCUUACCAAGGCAACGAUGCAUAGCCGACCUGAGAGGGUGAUCGGCCACACUGGAACUGAGACACGGUCCAGACUCCUACGGGAGGCAGCAGUAGGGAAUCUUCCGCAAUGGGCGAAAGCCUGACGGAGCAACGCCGCGUGAGUGAUGAAGGUCUUCGGAUCGUAAAACUCUGUUAUUAGGGACGAACAUAUGUGUAAGUAACUGUGCACAUCUUGACGGUACCUAAUCAGAAAGCCACGGCUAACUACGUG